UCCCAGUGUUAACAAAGGAAACC
rnacentral:piRNA from 1 species